CUGGCUGAUGAGACUAAGGCGAAUGCGACUGCCUACUGACUCUUGGCCAGGGUGAGGGGUUGACUGAUGAGAUCUGAAAUCUUGGUGGGGUGCCUGAGGCCUGACUCCCUACUGUAAGGCCAGAUCAACAGCAUUGCUGGCCUUGCCUUCAUGUCUGCUGUCACCAUAGUUCUGGCAGCAUCCUGCAGGGAGGCCCACAGGGGGUGGCCAAAGUGUGAGUAGCCAUGUGAGCGCAACCUUGAAUCUGACA